UACAGAGGGUGCAAGCGUUGUUCGGAAUUAUUGGGCGUAAAGAGCUCGUAGGCGGUUUGUCGCGUCUGCUGUGAAAUCCCAGGGCUUAACCCUGGGCCUGCAGUGGGUACGGGCAAACUAGAGUGCGGUAGGGGAGAUCGGAAUUCCUGGUGUAGCGGUGAAAUGCGCAGAUAUCAGGAGGAACACCGAUGGCGAAGGCAGGUCUCUGGGCAUUAACUGACGCUGAGGAGCGAAAGCAUGGGGAGCGAACAGG
rnacentral:rRNA from 1 species